rnacentral:rRNA from 1 species
AGUGAACGCUGGCGGUAGGCCUAACACAUGCAAGUCGAACGGCAGCACAGUAAGAGCUUGCUCUUACGGGUGGCGAGUGGCGGACGGGUGAGGAAUACAUCGGAAUCUACUUUUUCGUGGGGGAUAACGUAGGGAAACUUACGCUAAUACCGCAUACGACCUACGGGUGAAAGCAGGGGAUCUUCGGACCUUGCGCGAUUGAAUGAGCCGAUGUCGGAUUAGCUAGUUGGCGGGGUAAAGGCCCACCAAGGCGACGAUCCGUAGCUGGUCUGAGAGGAUGAUCAGCCACACUGGAACUGAGACACGGUCCAGACUCCUACGGGAGGCAGCAGUGGGGAAUAUUGGACAAUGGGCGCAAGCCUGAUCCAGCCAUACCACGUGGGUGAAGAAGGCCUUCGGGUUGUAAAGCCCUUUUGUUGGGGAAGAAAAGCAGCAGGUUAAUACCCCGCUGUUCUGACGGUACCCAAAGAAUAAGCACCGGCUAACUUCGUG